rnacentral:rRNA from 1 species
CACUCCUACGGGAGGCAGCAGUGGGGAAUUUUGGACAAUGGGCGAAAGCCUGAUCCAGCAAUGCCGCGUGUGUGAAGAAGGCCUUCGGGUUGUAAAGCACUUUUGUCCGGAAAGAAAUCCUUGGCUCUAAUACAGUCGGGGGAUGACGGUACCGGAAGAAUAAGCACCGGCUAACUACGUGCCAGCAGCCGCGGUAAUACGUAGGGUGCGAGCGUUAAUCGGAAUUACUGGGCGUAAAGCGUGCGCAGGCGGUUUGCUAAGACCGAUGUGAAAUCCCCGGGCUCAACCUGGGAACUGCAUUGGUGACUGGCAGGCUAGAGUAUGGCAGAGGGGGGUAGAAUUCCACGUGUAGCAGUGAAAUGCGUAGAGAUGUGGAGGAAUACCGAUGGCGAAGGCAGCCCCCUGGGCCAAUACUGACGCUCAUGCACGAAAGCGUGGGGAGCAAACAGGAUUAGAAACCCCGGUAGUCCC